ensembl:lncRNA
AGAUUUUGUUUUCUGGUCUCUGAUUGGUUGGCUUUUUGUCAAACCAGUGAGGUAACAGAUGACCUGUCUUUAGUGGGAGGGAUCUAAAGGCAGUUGAAAACAAACUGUACAAACUACAACUACACCACAUCAACUCUCCCAAGACUUCUGAGAUCAACCAGGACCAGGAACCAUGUCCAGCUCUGGGCCGAAGGAGCUGAGGAUUGUCUUCAUUGGAAAGACUGAAAUCUUGACUUCAAAAAUUGAAGACUUCCUGAAAGAAAAUGCUGUGCAGGAAGACUUUACAAUGGUUUUGGUGAAGACUCUGAUCCAAGACAGUCCAAGUCAAGUCGACGAGACAGAAAACACUGAAGUGUCAAAGGAAAUGAAGAAAGGAACUACAGCAUCCAUCUUCUCUCCUGGUCCCCAUGUGUUUCUGUUCGUGCAAGACUGGGAGAACGGCUUUAAAACACAUGACGUGGAGCGAAUGAAACUCGUUAGGGAGUUCUUUGGUGACGAGUCAGUGCGUUACUUUUUACCCUUGAUCACCCACGAAGAUAAAGAGUUGAAACCAAAGGAUAGAAAUACAAUAAUGAGUUUCAUUGAGACACAAUUGGGGUGUGAAAAAGAGAAAUGCAGUGAUAUUAAUGUUUAUAGUGACAAGGUCCAAGAUCAAGUGAGAAAGUUAGUGGACAAGCUGAGAGAGGUGGCUGAAAACAACAAAUGGGAGUGUUACACAGAGGAAAUGUUCAAGAAGGCACAGGAAGCCCUCUGCCAGAAAAUGCAGGAAUUAGAGAAGACGGGACAGAAAGAUAAUGUGAAUGACACACUGACCAAGAUAAUUGAGUUGGUAACUGGAGGGGGCGAAUUAAGCAAGUUCCUGUUUCAACUACAUAGAAAAGUGUCAGACUAUUUCAGUAAAUACACGGAGAAGGUGGCUCAGAAACACAAGAAAUGAGGAUAAAAAACUGGCCUCUAUUCACAAAAGAAUCACAAAGUUAAGAGCAAGUUAAUUAAAUAACGGAAGAAAGAAUGAGACUUUACUCAUGAACCAAAAAUGACUGAUUAAUCAAUUCUGUUGUUAUUAAAUCUGCAGCUCAGUCAGAGAAACAAACAAGAGGGAAAUAUUUGAUGUUUUUAAUCCGAGUUAUUAAUCUGACAGACUCGGUUCCUCUGCAGACUGAGAUCAAGACAACAAAUAAAUCGAUCAUGUUUUUUUUUAUCAUUAUUAUAAUUUGCAUUAUAGCAGAAAUGACAUUUGCAUGCUCACAGAUUCAAUUGGACUCCAUAUUUUCCAGCUGCAACAUUAUAUUCUAAAUGAUUUAAUGCAAAUACUUCUCUGCUUAUUUUCAUUGUGUUUUUUUUUUCCUUUUAUUGAUGGUGAACAAGGAAUAAUCAGGAAAAACAAUAAGAGCAGGAUAUACAUGUGUAUAUAUGUGGGGCAGGAGUAACUUUUGUGUCUUCUGUGUGGUAAAAUUGUAAAGAUUUCUUCUCCAUAAAGAUCUGAGCUCUUUCUGCGCCUCUGCUGCAGUUACAGGGAAACCUGAGAACAGAUGUUUUCUGGAGAAUUUGCAGCACAGACUGUAUUUUUCUAUCAAAACUUCUAAAACUUCUUUUCUUUUGUUUUCUGAGAAACAUGUUAAAUGUUAAAGCCUGAUGGAUUUUGUGCUUCCACUCAGUGGACGUGUUUAAAAAAAAGAAAGAUUGUUUUCUUUUUCUUUUCCUUUCUUUGUGGUGCUUUUUCAUUCCUUUCUAUGAUGUAACAGAGUUAAGAUGCUAAUGUACGAAUCAGUGUGUGAAAUGAUGCAGCUUCAGUCAGAUAUUAACAGCAGAAUCUCAUCAAUAAAUCAAACAUGACUGAGACAAAUCUGUUUCUCUCCUGUCAUUAUUCAGCUGAUUAAGAAAUGAUUCAUAGAAGAAAUUAACUUGAAACUUUGUCUUUUAGUUUUUGGUUGUGUGUCUCUUUGUGUUAGCCGUGCAUCAGGCUGGCGGCCUGUCCAGGGUGUGCCCCGCCUCUCGCCCUACGUUAGCCACCCGCGACCCUGACAGGGAUAAGUGGAAGAGAAUGGAUCGAUGGUUUUUAGGGACCUCAGUGUAAAUGUGUCUCUCUUUAAAGCACUUUGGGUCAGCUUCUGUUAUUUAAAUUUGUAAUGUGAAUAAAAUAGACCUGACAUUAAACACAAGUGGCUCUAAUAUUCAGACGUAAUAGAUUCAUUCUUGAUGUUCGAGAUAUGUUUUUUCUUUUCAAA